CCCUAGCCUUAUUAGCUAGCUCUGUAUACAUCAUCAUAAUUGUGGUAAGAUGCUGUCAGCAUCACUGGCCAGCUUCACAGAUUGCUAUUCCUGCUUCCCAAGCAUCACUAAGAAUAGCUAGAGACAGUGAUGUAUGAGCCUAAGUAGAAAGCUGUCAUUACAAUGACUCCUCUCUUGCCAUGGACCUCCAUCAGGAAUCAGAAAAAGAAUGGUCUGGAGAAUUUCCUCUGGAAAUUUGGGACGGAAGGUGUGGGAAAGAAAAAGCUGAGGAAUUUAUGAUAUCGAAGCUGGGAGGAGCAGUUCUUUUGGAGAAACACACACAAGCCAUUCUAGUUUAACCCAGUGACCUUCAGCUUCAUCUUUGCUGCACCUCCAGUGGUAAUAAGCAUGUCAAAGAAAAAAUGAAGAUAAUUCCACUUUCCCCAGGAACUUAGUCUGCCCAUUAAUUGAGUUGCAUUUCUUUAAGCUCAUGGUUUACUUCUGGGAAAGAAAUCUCUAAUUCAGCAUAGCAGUUGCCCUGUUCAGCUUGGAAGUCAGUGGUUCAUGAAGACCGUGCCUGUCUAGCCAGUCGGGUUUUGGGAUUCUCAUGCUGGGACACAUGUCGGACUCUGCAGAUGGCAUAGAGCUAAUGUAUGCUGCAGAUUCACACCCGGUAGCAGUUGCUUCUGAAACCACUGCCUCUUAGCUCCCUAUACCACAAAUAAAAUUACUUAUUCUGCACAAGCAAAAAACUUUCUGCUUGGUUUCUUGUUGGAAACAGAAAUCUUCCCUUUAUCUAGCAAAGAAAAGGCGCACCUUUGUGUUCAUUCCAUGUGUGUGAAGAGCCUUCUCAAGUGUAUAUAAUUCACCCAGCAUCUCUUCAGGCAUCAGUCUCUCAUCCUACUGAGAAAGGAAUGUUACAAAGCCAUCUGUAAGAGGAGCAGAAUUACAUGAACCCGAAUAAACGACUGCCUUAACUACUCCAAAACCCACAAUCAGGGUACCUGAUAAUCAUUCAGAAAAGAAGCAGACUUGUGAUCCCAGCUUUUUUAACUGACACCAUCUGCCUCUUAGUCUCUUUCUCCUGCUGACACCAACAGGUUUUCACCUUCUGGUUCACGAACACCUUGCCAGAAUAAUUUCCAUCCCUGGCUGGAACCAGGCUGCCUUUUUCCUCACUCUGUCGUGCCUCAGGCAGAGCUUUCCCAGGAGCAGUGCUGGAAGACAGGAGGUCCUCCUCUGUCCUGGAGUGGCUGUGAACAUCUCUGGCACUGCUGUGUCAUGCACCUUUGUUUCUGGAGAGCAGAGUGGAAGGGUGGGUGAAGCAGGAAUGUGGAUCUGCCCACUGCUCAUAAGUACCUACCUGCAGACUUAGCACCAGCGAGGCACCUCCCCUCACACAGGGGAGCAGUGGGAAACCUGGCUCUUAAUAAAAGAAGGCUUUCAAAAGGCUGGCAGAGUGAACAAUGUCAGGCUUGAAACUUAAACGUUGCACUGGUUAUUUGGUGUUCCUACGGUGAAAGACCACAUUCCACAUACAAGAUGUAAAAGAUUAUUUUUCUUCAAAUUUGGGCACAUCUGUGGCCAUCAUAUUUCACUGAUAAGAGCCAGGCAAAAGGAAAACAGAUUGUCUCACACAGUGCUGUCUCGGUGUACCUUCUCCUUCUAUGUACCAGUUAUCUGAACCUGUCCUCUGUUGUCUCAUGAGCUGUUGAUGAUUACAUCUAAUACAUUAUCUUUUAAACCCAGCAUGAAGCUAAUUACUGCCACCUAUAUCUCCAGGCACCUUGACUGCAGCUCUGAUUAUUCUUAGCUUUAUAUCAAGAAACCCCACUGACCCCUUACUGUAUGAAUUCCUCAUUUAUAGAUUUUUCUGUGCUGUGCAUGUAUUUCAGGCACAUCUUUACAGAAGGAAAUGCAGUCAAGGCCAGUUGUUUGCUGUAAGCAGAAACCUCCAUUUCUUGCUUUCCCUAAAUGCUUUCUAAUAAAAUUUGUGUUGGAACAUUGUUCUAAGAGCAUCCCUAUAAGGAAUAAUUCCAGUGACCUCAGCAAAUUACCUGUGAAUGAAUCUCACAUCAGCAAGGAAAGGGCAUUUUCUGCCUCUUUUUGGAGGUUUAGUUUUGCUGCCAGGGAGAAGGCUUUGACCUUCCCCUUUUGGGUACCAUACUUAUUAUUUGUUCAGCAUUCCUUCACAAAACUUCAGAAGUGCAAAAUAUGCCUUUCUUCACAUAGUGAUGACAAGCUGUCAGUAAUGAAGGGCACGUUGUUCUGCCCUACAGUCCCAUGGAGGACGGUGCACCCACACCAUGGCAGUUUAGGGAUUAGGGGAACACCGGAGUUCUUUGCUUGAAUUUAUAAAGUUUGGCAGGGACAGUUCUCCAGGACUUCCUUGAAAGAGUGAAAAAAUAAAAUACUCUUUAAACCAGAAACCCUCUCUUUGUCCUUGUUUCUCUAAUUAGACUAGGGGCAGUCCUUAAUGCCAUGAGCCUCAGGUGAAGACAAGCAAAAUGCAAGUUUGUGUGAACUGAGGUCAAAUGUAAUAGAAGAUGUUUUGACUGGAUUGGCUUACAAUGUAUCAGUAAGGAUGAUAUUUUCAAGUUGUGGGGUCUGGUGUACUUCACCCUACACCAUUUAAGAUCCUGUCUAAUUGUAUUUGCAUUAACCAC
ensembl:lncRNA